UCACCAACCCUAGCAAAAAACCARCNUGUAUACCRUCGUCGUCAGUCUACCUCGCAAGAGAUAAGUACACCCAAAGAGUGUGUCAACUAACAACACGACUCCACCCCCGACGUCAGAUCAAGGUGCAGCUCAUGGGUUGGGAACAAGUGAGCUACAAUAACAACGACAACAAUAAAAAAGAUAUGAAAUCGGCCCUGAAAAACCAGAAAAAAAAGGAUUCAACAGUAAUACUUAAAAGAAAAUAAGUAUGAAACCAUUAGCUCUGAAAUGCGC
rnacentral:rRNA from 1 species